rnacentral:rRNA from 1 species
UGAAUACGAGACGCUACGGCGUUGAAGCAAUCUAUGUCAUACUUCCAAGAAAGCUCGCAAUGUCAUAAACAAAUAAUGCCUGUACCAUAACCGACACAGGUGGGUAGGUAGAGUAUACUAAGGGGCGCGAGAUAACUCUCUCUAAGGAACUCGGCAAAAUGACUCCGUAACUUCGGGAGAAGGAGUGCCUUAUUUAUAAGGUUGCAAUAACAAGAUCCAAGCAACUGUUUAUCAAAAACACAGGUCUCCACUAAGUCGUAAGACGAUGUAUGGGGGCUGACGCCUGCCCAGUGCCAGAAGGUUAAAGAAGUUGGUUAGCAUUCGCGAAGCUGAUAACUGAAGCCCUGGUGAACGGCGGCCGUAACAAUAACGGUCCUAAGGUAGCGAAAUUCCUUGUCGGGUAAGUUCCGACCCGCACGAAAGGCGUAAUGAUUUGGAUACUGUCUCGGAGAGGGGCUCGGUGAAAUAGACUUGUCUGUGAAGAUGCGGACUACCUGCACCUGGACAGAAAGACCCUAUGAAGCUUUACUGUAACCUGAAAUUGAAAUUGGACUUUAUUUGCGCAGUAUAGGUGGGAGGCGUUGAGAGUAUUCUUGCGGGAAUAUUGGAGCCAUCAGUGAGAUACCACUCUUGUAAUGUUAGAUUUCUAACUUUGUAUCAUGAUCUGGUCAAAGAACAGUUUCAGGCGGGCAGUUUGACUGGGGCGGUCGCCUCCCAAACGGUAACGGAGGCGUACAAGGGUUUCCUCUGAACGGGUAGAAAUCGUAUCUAGAGUGUAAAGGCAUAAGGAAGUUUGACUGUGAGACCUACAAGUCGAGCAGGGACGAAAGUCGGUCUUAGUGAUCUGACGGUGCUGAGUGGAAAGGCCGUCACUCAACGGAUAAAAGUUACUCUAAGGAUAACAGGCUGAUCUCCCCCAAGAGUUCACAUCGACGGGGAGGUUUGACACCUCGAUGUCGGCUCAUCGCAUCCUGGGGCGGUAGUACGUCCCAAGGGUUGGGCUGUUCGCCCAUGAAAGCGGUACGCGAGCUGGGUUCAGAACGUCGUGAGACAGUUCGGUCCAUAUCCGGUGUAGGCGUUAGAAUAUUGAGAGGAGCCUUCUCUAGUACGAGAGGACCGAGAAGGACAUACCUCUGGUGUACCAGUUAUCGUGCCAACGGUAAACGCUGGGUAGCUAUGUAUGGAGAGGAUAACCGCUGAAAGCAUCUAAGUGGGAAGCCCACCUCAAGAUAAGUAUUCUCA